CUACAUUUACAGGACAAUUAACCACAUUUACAAAAUUGCACCGCCUCCCCACGAAGCCACUUCUACAGGCUCUCAGAACUCUGUCCCCGACAAAGACUAUUCCCGUUGUGGGAGGACCUCAGCUUUAAGAGGAGGACUGAGAGGCUGGAGCUCAGAGAGACAGACGGACCUUUGAAGCUGCAACAGCAGGUGGGGAAAGCCGGCAGGGCCUUCCGGAAAGCACGGAGAAGGGAAGCGGCUGGAUGCUCACACACUGCGAGGACUUCGCAGACCCAAACCAGAAUGUUCUCUGUGAUGUCAGGAACCUGCGUUCAUCUUCUCGCUCUCCGGUGGGCUCCCCCACUGACCUGUGGAUGGCUGGUCGUCUGCGAGAGGGCUCGACACUCACCUUCCCCAGAUGUGAUGGGCUUUCCUUCCGGAGGCCAGUGCUCCUUAAGGGUAAAGUGCACACACACAGAUCACUGGUGAGGAAGUUGUUUCCCCCUAAAGACUGUUCUUUGAUUUUAAAAAUAGGCUUUUCUAAUUCACGUGAAGAAAUAAAACAUCCUGUCGGAAAUUUUUAGAAAGGAUUUAACUGUUUCAUCAGGACUCAGAGUGGCAGCUCGGAUAGCAGAUCCUAGAUGAGAAGAGAGGUCUGGCUCACUGGGCCAAGGGGAGAGUUGACAUCGGCUGCUCAGCUGGGUCUCACAGGCACAGAGGCCCGGCUUUCUCUGAGUCAUUUCAGACUCAGGGGCGAGGAACACUGGUGAAAACCGUGGGUGAGUAUGGGCAUCCAGGCUUGGUUCCUGGCCCUAGUCUAGGAUAUCCCACUUGGGUAUGGAGGACUUUGAAUGAGAUCAUCUAAGUCUGCACUGUUCAAGAUGGAGGCCAGGAGCCGCAGGUGGCGACUGAACAUAUGAAAUGUGGUCAGUCCAAACUGAGAUGUGCUGUGCGUGUAAAAUAUGCACACCAGAUCUCAAAGACUUAGUACAAAAGAAAGAAGGGGAAAUGUCUCAUGGAUGGAUUUUUAUGUUGUUUACGUAUUGAAAUGAUUGUAUUUUGCAUAUGUUGAGUUAAACAAAAUACGUACUGUUAAAAGUAAUUGCACCUAUUUCGUUUUACUUUUUUACGUGUGGCAACUAGAAAAUUUUAAAUUAUGUGCAGUUUGCAUUCUUUUUCUAUUGGACAGUGCCGGUCUACUUCCUCUAAGACCAGUGAGGGUGAGGGGACAUUGGGAAGGCCUUAGCUGGCACCAAAUCUGAGAAACCUGAUGGGACCAGAGGCCUUGAAGACAUCCUGUGUGUUUUGGGGAGGGGGGGGGCGAUAAAUAUCCGUUGGUAACUUGCCCUAAAAACAACUCAGAUGAGGUUUCCCUUAGAAUAUCAAUUCCCUUUACAGAUCUGGGGCUAGGACAAUAUGAAGCACCAGUUUUCGGACGGAAAUGGCCCUUCUUCAGAACCUGUUCUGGGAGAGAAUUAAGUGGAGUUGAUCUGCUACUUGGGGCUUCAUGCUCUUGACUGCAGUUGCAGGUUGGGUUUCCCAGGUUGAGAUAAUCCUGUCACAAAAAUUGCCAAACCAGUUCUUCAACUCAGGCUGGGUCGUGACCACAGCAUGAUUAGUUGAGAACAUUCAUACCAUGAAAGAAAACUAGAUAGAGUUUACUAACCAGUUAACCUCAGCCUGAGUACGUACAAGUACCUCAAUUCACUAUAUACUUUUGUGUCUGAUUUAAUUAACUUCGGAUUCCUUUUUGUGGUGGAAUUGAUGAAACUCUUAGAACCAUCUGCCUAGGGGUAGUCUCUCUCUCAGGGUGCCACCUUGUUCUUUGUCUUGCUGCCAUGGUUUUAUUUCUAUAUCAUGAACACAUCUUCUUCUGUGUUCCAUGCACCCCAUGUUUUGUUCUAGUUUGUGCCAGGAAAGUAAUUUUAUUUUAUUAGUAUUAUUUUUUGCUGAGGAAGAUUCGCCCUGAGCUAACAUCUGUGCCAAUCUUCCUCUAUUUUGUAUGUGGGUUGCUGCCAAAGCAUGGCCGCUGACGAGUGGUGUAGAUCCGCGCCCGGGAACCAAACCCAGGCUGCUGAAGCAGAGCACGUCGAGCUUAACCACUAGGCCAUGGGGCCAGCCCAGGAAAGUCAUUUUAGACUUCUUAGUCUCACCAAAUGUGAUUUUGCAGAGAGAUACAUAUAUAUGUAUAAUACAUAUAUAUAUUUGAAUUAAAUAUUGUAUUACAUUGUUCACUCUAUAAGCUUGAUAGUUAUAAUUGUGUACAAUUCUUGGUAUAUUUAUACAAGUGAUACAUUUGUUUUAAUAAGGAAGAGUAGAAACUGUUUAAAUGUUCAUCAAUAAAGGAAUGUUAAAAAAUGUAUUACCA
rnacentral:lncRNA from 1 species